rnacentral:rRNA from 1 species
GAUGAACGCUGGCGGCGUGCCUAAUAAAUGCAAGUCGAGCGAACAGACGAGGAGCUUGCUCCUCUGACGUUAGCGGCGGACGGGUGAGUAACACGUGGAUAACCUACCUAUAAGACUGGGAUAACUUCGGGAAACCGGAGCUAAUACCGGAUAAUAUAUUGAACCGCAUGGUUCAAUAGUGAAAGACGGGUUUGCUGUCACUUAUAGAUGGAUCCGCGCCGCAUUAGCUAGUUGGUAAGGUAACGGCUUACCAAGGCAACGAUGCGUAGCCGACCUGAGAGGGUGAUCGGCCACACUGGAACUGAGACACGGUCCAGACUCCUACGGGAGGCAGCAGUAGGGAAUCUUCCGCAAUGGGCGAAAGCCUGACGGAGCAACGCCGCGUGAGUGAUGAAGGUCUUCGGAUCGUAAAACUCUGUUAUUAGGGAAGAACAAAUGUGUAAGUAACUAUGCACGUCUUGACGGUACCUAAUCAGAAAGCCACGGCUAACUACGU